AGUGAACGCUGGCGGUAGGCCUAACACAUGCAAGUCGAACGGCAGCACAGUAAGAGCUUGCUCUUACGGGUGGCGAGUGGCGGACGGGUGAGGAAUACAUCGGAAUCUACUUUUUCGUGGGGGAUAACGUAGGGAAACUUACGCUAAUACCGCAUACGACCUACGGGUGAAAGCAGUGGAUCUUCGGACCUUGCGCGAUUGAAUGAGCCGAUGUCGGAUUAGCUAGUUGGCGGGGUAAAGGCCCACCAAGGCGACGGUCCGUAGCUGGUCUGAGAGGAUGAUCAGCCACACUGGAACUGAGACACGGUCCAGACUCCUACGGGAGGCAGCAGUGGGGAAUAUUGGACAAUGGGCGCAAGCCUGAUCCAGCCAUACCGCGUGGGUGAAGAAGGCCUUCGGGUUGUAAAGCCCUUUUGUUGGGAAAGAAAAGCAGCAGGUUAAUACCCCGCUGUUCUGACGGUACCCAAAGAAUAAGCACCGGCUAACUUCGUG
rnacentral:rRNA from 1 species